rnacentral:rRNA from 1 species
GGACCUAGGGGGGCAGCAGUGAGGAAUAUUGGUCAAUGGGCGGGAGCCUGAACCAGCCAAGUCGCGUGAGGGAAGACGGUCCUAUGGAUUGUAAACCUCUUUAGGCGGGGAGCAAUGCCGGGCACGCGUGCCCGGAGGGAGAGUACCCGCAGAAUAAGCAUCGGCUAACUCCGUGCCAGCAGCCGCGGUAAUACAUAGGGAGCGAGCGUUAUCCGGAUUUAUUGGGUGUAAAGGGUGCGUAGACGGGAAUACAAGUUGGUUGUGAAAGCCCUCGGCUUAACUGAGGCACU